CUCCGUACGGGGAAGGAUGAGAAGCUUCGACUAAGGUUCGAUUCGAGCGCAGCGAGAAAGCGUUGCCGCAGGCAACGACCCGAAGGGUGAGGAGCGGAGCGACGAAUAAUCCUUCCCCCACCACCA
rnacentral:sRNA from 1 species